AGCGAACGCUGGCGGCAGGCCUAACACAUGCAAGUCGAACGAAGUCUUCGGACUUGGUGGCGGACGGGUGAGUAACACGUGGGAACGUGCCCUUUGGUACGGAAUAACUCAGGGAAACUUGAGCUAAUACCGUAUGUGCCCUUCGGGGGAAAGAUUUAUCGCCAUUGGAGAGGCCCGCGUCUGAUUAGCUAGGUGGUGAGGUAAAGGCGCACCAAGGCGACGAGCAGUAGCUGGUCUGAGAGGAUGAUCAGCCACAUUGGGACUGCGACACGGCCCAAACUCCUACGGGAGGCAGCAGUGGGGAAUCUUGCGCAAUGGGCGAAAGCCUGACGCAGCCAUGCCGCGUGAAUGAUGAAGGUCUUAGGAUUGUAAAAUUCUUUCACCGGGGACGAUAAUGACGGUACCCGGAGAAGAAGCCCCGGCUAACUUCGUGCCAGCCGCCGCCGUAAGAC
rnacentral:rRNA from 1 species